AUGGAAGAAAAAUAAUAUAUAACGAGCAGGAGAAGAUGAAAGGUGGUGGUGGUAGUGGUGGAAAAAAAUAAGAGGCAAAAUUUGCCGAGAAUCAAGGAGAAAAGUGUACAAACCUUGGUGGUUCUCGACGUGCCCACUCUUUUUCGCGGUUAAGCUUCGAAUGGACCCGUCUCUCUUUUGUUUUCACACAAGUUCCCAACUGAACGCGUGGCUGUACCUCUGAAAAUAUUAACCUAGGUCUUAAGAAAGCUAUGGUUCCUCCAGGUUUUCGCAGUUUCAAAAGUUAAGACGCAACGAAACAAUUCACAUGGCUCGGCUCGUUGCCUCGUGUUUUUUUCAAAUUGAUUGCACGGUCGAUGAGACUUUAAGAUAUGGAAAAUGAAUUGGAUGUUUAUUUAUACCAUUUGUUCAUUCUCUUUACUUUCUCUUACCAAUCUUACUUUUGUUAGGUUAAAACGAGAGGAGAAAAAUAAAAUAAAAUUAGGAGACGGAAAAGCGGAAGAGAUGACAUCCGACAUGUAAUUUAUACUCUUCACUCUCUGUGAUGAUCUUGCAAUCUUGAUGACAUCGAUAUGCGCAUAAUGAAUCCUCCGAAACUCUUUGAUCUAAAUUUUUGACAUAACUUGGAAAUUGGGGAACGAUUGGAUUAAUUCUGUUAAAAUAUUUCAUUCGAAAGGAAGAAAUUUUGUAUUAUAAAUAUACUUAUGUGCGAUAUACUUGCAAUAUUGUAAAAGAGAAUGCAUGUGUCAGGAAAUAGGAAAGUACGAACAAUUUCAUGAGCCUGUUAUCAGUGUCAGCACGUUAUUUUAGCAAAUGCUGUUUCACGUUAAGGCGGUCAUAAAUGGAAACGGUAGCCAAAAGCCGAAGAUUAAUUCGAAACUCGAAUUUGAUCGCCAAAUGUUGAUAAAGAAAAGCGGGGAGUGGUCUGUAAUUCCAGAAAAUAGCGACAAAUGGAUGCGUGCCAGGAAUCCGUGUAGCCUGACCCACUGGGUCAAAAUGGACACCGGCAAAAAUCCAAAUUUUCAAAAUGCGUCAAGUAUUGUUAACGUCUGUACACGGAUAACCGACGAGUUCUCUAUUCUAGGAUGAGUGGAACAAGAAUAGAGCAGCGGUGAAUGUCAUUGACGUUAAAGAUGGAAUUGUUCUCAAUUUACCUUGAAAAUCGAAUCGUUUGAAAUUUAUAGAAUCUCAUAUAUAAAAUAUAUGUCUUUAUAAAAAGCUUGAAAGAUAACUAAAAUUAAUUCUAACUGGUAUCAUUGAUUCAUGGACGAUGACAGGAAUUCGUGUUACGUUUGAAAAAUCAAUUAUUUUUAUAUUCUUAUUCAACGUUUUGCAUUGUAACAAAUAUUGUAAUAACAAAAUACAAAUUAUUAUAAUUA